GAGGAAGGUGGGGAUGACGUCAAGUCCUCAUGGCCCUUAUGGGUAGGGCUUCACACGUAAUACAAUGGCGCGUACAGAGGGUUGCCAAGCAGCGAUGCGGAGCCAAUCCCAGAAAGCGCGUCGUAGUCCGGAUUGCAGUCUGCAACUCGACUGCAUGAAGUCGGAAUCGCUAGUAAUCGCGGAUCAGCAUGUCGCGGUGAAUACGUUCCCGGGCCUUGUACACACCGCCCGUCACACCAUGGGAGUGGGUAUUACCAGAAGCAGUUAGCCUAACCGCAAGGGGGGCGAUUGCCACGGUAGGAUUCAUGACUGGGGUGAAGUCGUAACAAGGUAGCCGUAA
rnacentral:rRNA from 1 species